rnacentral:rRNA from 1 species
GUCUACGGCCAUACUACCAUGAACGCGCCCGAUCUCGUCUGAUCUCGGAAGCUAAGCAGGGUCGGGCCUGGUUAAUACUUGGAUUGGAGGUCCCCAUCCAAUUGUUAACC